ACUUGGAUAGCUUAUUGAUUAGAGCGCGACACUGAAGAUGUCGAUGAGGUAUUUUUGUUACCUUUAGGUA
rnacentral:tRNA from 1 species